AUACGGAGGAUCCGAGCGUUAUCCGGAUUUAUUGGGUUUAAAGGGAGCGUAGGCGGACUAUUAAGUCAGCUGUGAAAGUUUGCGGCUCAACCGUAAAAUUGCAGUUGAUACUGGUCGUCUUGAGUGCAGUAGAGGUAGGCGGAAUUCGUGGUGUAGCGGUGAAAUGCUUAGAUAUCACGAAGAACUCCGAUUGCGUAGGCAGCUGACCAGACCGCAAAUGACGCUCAUGCACGAAAGUGCGGGGAUCGAACAGGAUUAGAUACCCUGGUAGUCCGCGCAGUAAACGAUGAAUACUUGUUUUCGGCGAUAUAAUGUCGGAGGCAAAGCGAAAGCGAUAAGUAUUCCACCUGGGGAGUACGCCGGCAACGGUGAAACUCAAAGGAAUUGACGGGG
rnacentral:rRNA from 1 species